UUUUCACUCUCGAGACUCCACUUGAAUGAAAUUGAUUAGACAUUACUGAUAAUCCUCUUAAGAAAAUUAAUACUAACUUUAUCUAACUCUAAUCUAACUUUUUCUAAAUCUAUUGAUCGUAUUGAAUCAUCUUACCUUUCCUUAUACCUAUUUUUCUACUGAUUGUUGAAGACCUGUGUUGUUUGAACCUCGAACUCCGAUUGGUUUUUUAUGUACACUGGAACACUGGAUGGCGAGUCAGUCCCCUUGGAUCGAUUGAACUGUUCUACCCUUUCAUACUGGAUAACCAACCCCUUGAACUGCCCUUUCAUACUGGAUAACCAACCCCUUGGAUCUGUUCCCUGGAUACAGAUAAGCCUUCACACAUACACUGACAUUGUACACUCACACCACCUUACCCGGGUAUUUCUUUUCUUUUGGACAUUUGAGUUUUUAACUAUUGAUUUGAUACUUUGCAUUUUUAAGAGCUCUUUUAUUAUUUUAUAGGGGUUUGUAUUUAUUUACUAUUUAUUUUCUAUUUACUAAUAUUUCCUCUUCUUUUCUCAUAGAGAAAAGAUAUUCUUGCAUUUAAUAAACCUGCAUUAUUUAUUUAUAACAUUUUA